GAUGAACGCUGGCGGCGUGCCUAAUACAUGCAAGUCGAACGAAACUUCUUUAUCACCGAGUGCUUGCACUCACCGAUAAAGAGUUGAGUGGCGAACGGGUGAGUAACACGUGGGCAACCUGCCCAAAAGAGGGGGAUAACACUUGGAAACAGGUGCUAAUACCGCAUAACCAUAGUUACCGCAUGGUAACUAUGUAAAAGGUGGCUAUACUACCGCUUUUGGAUGGGCCCGCGGCGCAUUGGCUAGUUGGUAGGGUAAAGGCUUACCAAGGCAAUGAUGCGUAGCCGAAUUGAGAGGUUGAUCGGCCACAUUGGGACUGAGACACGGCCCAAACUCCUACGGGAGGCAGCAGUAGGGAAUCUUCCACAAUGGGCGAAAGCCUGAUGGAGCAACGCCGCGUGGGUGAAGAAGGUCUUCGGAUCGUAAAACCCUGUUGUUAGAGAAGAAAGUGCGUGAGAGUAACUGUUCACGUUUCGACGGUAUCUAACCAGAAAGCCACGGCUAACUACGUG
rnacentral:rRNA from 1 species